rnacentral:rRNA from 1 species
UCCUUCGGGAUAGUGGCAGACGUGCGAGUAACGUGUACUUAACUUGCCCUAGAGACGGGAACAACUAUGGAGACAUAGCUAAUUCCCGAUAUGCUCACGAUGGUGUAAUUCCAAUGUGAGGAAAGAUUUAUCGCUCUGGGAGAGGGGUGCAUUCUAUCAGAUUGUUGGUGAGGUAAUGGCUCACCAAGUCUAUGACGGAUAGCCGGUUUGAGACGAUGAUCGGCCGCGAUGGGACUGAGACACGGCCCAUACUCC